AGAGUGUGAUUCUGGCUCAGAACGAACGCUGGCGGCGCGUUUUAAGCAUGCAAGUCGAGCGGCAGGGGGGCUUCGGUCCCCCGAGAGCGGCGGACGGGUGAGUAACACGUGGACAACCUGCCCCCCGGUUCGGGAUAGCCCAGGGAAACCUGGAUCAAUACCGGAUGCGAGGGCGGCCGCACAAGCGGCCGUCGGGAAAGGCGCUUCGGCGCCGCCGGGGGAUGGGUCCGCGUCCCAUUAGCUAGACGGUGGGGUAACGGCCCACCGUGGCGAUGAUGGGUAGCCGGCCUGAGAGGGUGGACGGCCACAUUGGAACUGAGACACGGUCCAGACUCCUACGGGAGGCAGCAGCUAAGAAUCUUCCGCAAUGGGCGAAAGCCUGACGGAGCGACGCCGCGUGAACGAAGAAGGCCGUGAGGUUGUAAAGUUCUUUUCGGGAGGGGGAACGAGGCUGCCAGGCAAUGGGCGGCCGAUGACGUGAAUCCCGGAAUAAGCCCCGGCUAACUACGUGCCAGCAGCCGCGGUAACACGUAGGGGGCGAGCGUUGUUCGGAAUCAUUGGGCGUAAAGGGCGUGCAGGCGGCCGCCAAAGUCCGGCGUGAAAGACCCAGGCUCAACCUGGGGGGUGCGCCGGAUACUGGGCGGCUUGAGUACAGGAGGGGACGGCGGAAUUCCAGGUGUAGGGGUGAAAUCUGUAGAUAUCUGGAGGAACACCGAUGGCGAAGGCAGCCGUCUGGCCAUGUACUGACGCUGAGGCGCGAAGGUGCGGGGAGCAAACAGGUUUAGAUACCCUGGUAGUCCGCACAGUAAACGAUGUGCACCAGGCGGCGGGGGCAACCUCGCUGCCGCAGUCAACGCAUUAAGUGCACCGCCUGGGGAGUAUGCCCGCAAGGGUGAAACUCAAAGGAAUUGACGGGGGCCCGCACAAGCGGUGGAGCAUGUGGUUUAAUUCGAUGCAACGCGAAGAACCUUACCAGGUCUUGACAUCCAAAGAAUCCUGAUGAAAGUCGGGAGUGCCUUAGGGAGCUUUGAGACAGGUGGUGCAUGGUUGUCGUCAGCUCGUGUCGUGAGAUGUUGGGUUAAGUCCCGCAACGAGCGCAACCCCCGCUAUUAGUUGCUAACAUUGAGUUGAGCACUCUAAUGGGACUGCCCGUGACAAGCGGGAGGAAGGUGGGGAGGACGUCAAAUCAUCAUGCCCUUUAUGAUCUGGGCUACACACGUGCUACAAUGGAUGGUACAGAGAGCAGCGAGACAGUGAUGUGGAGCGAAUCUCAAAAAGCCAUUCUCAGUUCGGAUUGCAGGCUGCAACUCGCCUGCAUGAAGUCGGAAUCGCUAGUAAUCGCGGAUCAGCAUGUCGCGGUGAAUAAAGGCCCGGGCCUUGUACUCACCGCCCGUCA
rnacentral:rRNA from 1 species